CACGUAGGGCGCAAGCGUGUCCGGAAUUAUUGGGCGUAAAGAGCUCGUAGGCGGUCUGUUACGUCUGCUGUGAAAACCCAGGGCUUAACCCUGGGCUUGCAGUGGAUACGGGCAGACUAGAGGCAGGUAGGGGAGAAUGGAAUUCCCGGUGUAGCGGUGAAAUGCGCAGAUAUCUGGAGGAACACCGGUGGCGAAGGCGGCGUCCUGGACCAACACUGACACUGAUGAGCGAAAGCCAGGGGAGCAACGGG
rnacentral:rRNA from 1 species